rnacentral:rRNA from 1 species
GCAUGCCUACAACAUAGCGCUAAUGCACCGAAUCCCAUUAGAACUCCGCAGUUAAUCCCGCUCAGGUUAGGGUAGUACUAGGAUGGGUGAUCGCCUAAGAAGUCCUAGUGUUUUGCAUGCC